rnacentral:rRNA from 1 species
UACGUAGGGGGCGAGCGUUGUCCGGAUUUAUUGGGCGUAAAGAGCUCGUAGGCGGUUUGGUAAGUUGGAUGUGAAAUCUCCAGGCUCAACUUGGAGGGGUCAUUCGAUACUGCCAUGACUAGAGUUCGGUAGGGGAGUGUGGAAUUCCCGGUGUAGCGGUGAAAUGCGUAGAUAUCAGGAGGAACACCGGUGGCGAAGGCGGGUCUCUGGGCCGAUACUGACGCUGAGGAGCGAAAAGCGUGGGGAGCGAACAGG